rnacentral:rRNA from 1 species
AUCCUGGCUCAGAUUGAACGCUGGCGGCAGGCCUAACACAUGCGAGUCGAAUGGUAACAGGAAACAGCUUGCUGUUUCGCUGACGAGUGGCGGACGGGUGAGUAAUGUCUGGGAAACUGCCUGAUGGAGGGGGAUAACUACUGGAAACGGUAGCUAAUACCGCAUAACGUCGCAAGACCAAAGAGGGGGACCUUCGGGCCUCUUGCCAUCAGAUGUGCCCAGAUGGGAUUAGCUAGUAGGUGGGGUAACGGCUCACCUAGGCGACGAUCCCUAGCUGGUCUGAGAGGAUGACCAGCCACACUGGAACUGAGACACGGUCCAGACUCCUACGGGAGGCAGCAGUGGGGAAUAUUGCACAAUGGGCGCAAGCCUGAUGCAGCCAUGCCGCGUGUAUGAAGAAGGCCUUCGGGUUGUAAAGUACUUUCAGCGGGGAGGAAGGGAGUAAAGUUAAUACCUUUGCUCAUUGACGUUACCCGCAGAAGAAGCACCGGCUAACUCCGUG